AGGCGCCUGCAGGGGCUCCCCCAGUUCUGCGCUGUGAGCCGGGGCACAAAGAGCCCUCUGCACUGGCGCCGCAGGACCGCGGACCCGAGCUGGAGGCAUCUCCCCGCCCACUGUGUGGUUCCGGACGCAUUCGUGUGGCCGCCGUGACCCUUCCAACAUCAAAGGAGCAACCGAGAGUGCAAGCAAGUUCCUGAGACAGAGGAGAAGGAAGGGAAUUUCCGGACUCUUCAGGAUGUUCAGGACCACACUGGGAAGCAGCCUUGCAGAUAAGUAUUCAAACUUCCCAGCCCACAGCCUACCAGCCUGCCCUCUCCUGCACUCUCCUGGUCCGUGGAGCAAAGUACAGCAUCCCUGAAUCCCCAAGUCCAGGGAGAAAUCAGCGCUCCAGCUCAUUUGCUUUCCUAUCCCUAAGAUACAAAGAAAAAGCUUGUCCCCAUUUUAUGGGGCCCCAGAGAGUAAUUUUUCCUACCCCACUUAUGACCUCGAGGCUGGUAUUUUACAAACUCCACCCUCAGGGACUUCUGAGGAGCUGAAUUCAGUAACUUCGUCUCGAGCACUGUAGAUCUGGUGUCAGGAGGAGACUGGGGCCUCCCGGGGAUUGGGGCUGGCCCUUCCCUUCUCGGCUCUUGUCCUUUGCCAUCAUGUUUAUAACACUUGGCUAGGGCUCCUUUUCUUGCCUGGCAGUCAAGUGGGGACCUUGGCGCUGUGACCCCAGGGCACAUGCUUCUUGGUUUAAGGGUCUGAGGACAUCUCCAGCUCUGGGCCCGGGCCCGCAAGUCCAAGUGCUGACAGCAAGCUCUGAAAAUACGGUGAAAGGGCCCAGGCCUGCCAGUGGAUGAAGAUAACUUUGUUGCUGUUUGUUGUUUAGUCCCUAAGUCAUGUCCGACUCUUUGCCAUCCCAUUGACUGUGACUCCUCUGU